rnacentral:misc_RNA from 1 species
GAAAAAGCAAUAAACGAUGCGUAGUCAGGCUGCUUCUCUUUGGUUGAAUUGUGAAGGACUGUUAGGCAUCUUCCCUUGCAUGAGAAAGUCAAUAUUUUAAUACAUUUUAAUACAUGGAGGAUGAUUUAGCUGUUUCUCAAACCCCACAAAGCUACUUUUCUCCACCAACUCCUAGCGUAAGAUGGAUGAGAAUAAUGAGGAAACACAGCAACCUUUGCUCACCACUAACACCACCAGCUACUAUGAGAAUUGCCCAGGUUGCCAGAUUGACCUCUUCAAAGAGACCAAUCCUCGCAUCCCUUUCAAGCUUUUAUUCUAUGUUUGGAUUAUUGUGCUUUGCGCAGCUUUGCCUAUAUCUUCUCUUUUUCCUUUCCUCUAUUUUAUGAUAAGGGACUUCCAUAUUGCAAAAAGAGAGGAAGACAUUGGCUACUAUGCUGGUUAUGUGGGAUCUGCAUAUAUGUUUGGAAGAGCUUUGACUUCUGUACUCUGGGGAGUGAUUGCUGAUCGAUAUGGUCGAAAGCCUGUCAUAAUAUUUGGCAUGAUAACAUUGAUUAUUUUCAAUACCCUAUUUGGGCUCAGUACAAGCUUUUGGAUGGCAAUUUCUACAAGGUUUCUUCUUGGAAGUUUGUGUGGCAUACUUGGUCCGAUGAGGGCAUAUGCAUCAGAAGUUUGCCGAAAAGAAUAUCAAGCUUUGGGAAUGUCAAUUAUAAGCACAUCAUGGGGCAUUGGAUUAGUCAUGGGUCCAGCUCUUGGAGGUUUUCUUGCGCAGCCUGCAGAGAAAUAUGAAAACGUUUUUCCUAAAGAUUCUCUUUUUGGGAGGUUUCCAUACUUUUUACCUUGCCUUUUGAUAUCAAUCUUUGGAUUGGGUGUAUUUGUCCUUUCUUUUUCGCUUCCGGAAACAUUGCACAACCAUAAAGGAAAUGAUGAAGAAUGCCAUGAUUCAUAUGAUAAGCCAGAAAUGAAUGAAGGAAAAAGCCUAGUUUCUGAAGAAAGCCUGCUGAAAAAUUGGCCCUUAAUGUCAUCCAUUAUCGUGUAUUGUGUGUUCCAACUUCAUGACAUGGCCUAUGCAGAGAUUUUCUCAUUAUGGGCAGUUAGUCCUAGGAAGAAUGGCGGAUUGAGCUAUUCCACAGCAGAUGUUGGUGAAGUUCUUGCAAUCUCAGGCUUUGGACUGCUACUCUUUCAACUAUUUUUAUACCCACUGGUGGAAAGAAAUUUGGGACCAGUCAUGGUAUCUCGCAUAGGAGCAGUAUGUCUUUAGCACAACUUCCUUGCAUAUAACUUUUAUUUUUAUUUGCUUGAGUCCCUUUUUCAUGUGAUCUUUUCUUGCUUUUAUAUGUGAAGGUCCUGACUGUGCCAUUGCUGGCUAGCUACCCUUUUAUAGCUUUGCUAAAAGGCCUCGGCCUCACCCUACUGAUUGACUGUGCAUCUGUGCUGAAGAAUGUGCUCUGU